CACCGCACGCCUCCCCCUCUCCCUCUCUCGCUCGUCUCUCCCUGCUCCCUCCCCCCACCCACGAAACCCUCGCCGCCGCUGUCUACGCCGCUCGAUUCCGGCGUGUUCCGGCGGCCCUCGCCGGCGCGCAGCACAGAUCCGUGCUCCCGUGCCGCCUCUCUUCCCUUCCCUCCGGCCAGAUCCGCCUUUGGCGGCCCCGAGAGCUCACCCACGACCCCUCCCCAUGGCUAGGGUUUCGAGGGUGGCGUCCCCUCCAAAUCCGGCGUGUCGCUGGCGACUCUGCUCCGCCAUCUUCGACGCCCACCGCAAGUCCCACGGGCGGCUCCGCCUCGUGGUCAGUGCUCCUGCACCCGGUGGCUGCGGGGCGGACGCACGCGGCGGGUAAACUCCGGCGAGACGGCGGCCCCCUCCACGGCGUGACGGCGGUGCACUGCAUUGGCUAAAGCAUCCCCAUGUUCUAGAGAUGCAGGGAGGGAGGGACGUCCAUGGAUUGGACUGCAAGGAUUGGAUGCAAACCAAUGCACAUGAGGAGGAGAGAUGCAAGCCAUGCCAUGACCUGAAGGUCCCUGCCGUGAACCCCUUCCCUUCACGUGUAUAAUCAUGCUCAACAUAUGAUUUUUUUAAUCUUCAAUUCAGCCUAGCUAGCUGUUGUAGUACUUGCUUGUCUCCUUCCAAAUGUUGCCCCAGUUCGUUGAGCUUCUUAUUGCUCCAAGUAGUACUGCUAUUUUUCUGCUCUGCGAUUUGAUGUGCAUGGUUCCAGGCUCCCAGUCUACCACUUUUGUUGCUGUGAUGUCGAGCUCUGCUUUCUUUAUUAUCACGAGUUGCAAAAUUAGUAGGAACUAAACUUUUGUUAACUUGUUGGCUGAACCAAUGGAACUACUGUUAUAUUUGAUUUGUCGCUCAACUAGUUCUGCAAUGAUUGGAUCGAAUGAUGGCAUGACCCUACUGUUAUCAUUGCAAUUAUCUUGGUCUUAUAGAUGUUAUUGUUCCUGUCAUAUAGCACAUGCUACUUUCUUUAUUAGUUGGCUGCUGGUUCUAUUUGUUCAUAUGUACAAGUGCUAAUGUUUCUUUGUUAUCUUAUAAAGGAUAUAGUCCUUCAUUUGUAUAUAGCUGUAACUCUCUUAUUGAUCAACAUAUACUGAUUCGUCUCUUUACUGCAAUUACUCUGUAGUUCAUGAUUUGCUCCCGUAGUGGUAUAAAAUUAUAGUUUCUCUUUCAAGCUGGUACUGUGUUUGAUAUAUAUUAGUCUUUAUCUAAAUACCAUGUAUUGGUAUUUCUUGUAUGGUUUAGUACAUCAUCUACUGGUGGUUUAGUUGUAUAUUGUACAGGACAUAGUCCUGAUGGUUGCAUGUAGUGAUAAUUCUUUCUUUGCAUUAGCUAUUUCAUAUGUUUCAGAUGAUUUAGAUGCAUGCUUAUACUCCUAUCUAUACCAGGUGCAUGUGUUGUGCUUGUGUACCUGUAUACAGAAUAGUACCCAUGUGUAAGUGGGUGUAUGUGUUCUGCUUACAGCAGAUGUUUAGUAAAUGUGCUAUCAAUGGCCUAUUUCUUCUUGCAGGUUAUGGACUAUAUCUUUUCUUGCCAAUUCCCUCUCUCUUAAAUCUGAUUUGAACAGAUGCUACACUUGUCUCUUCACUUUCUUUCUUUCUCCUACUCUCACUGAUAAGAACAUGUGCUCCUUCAUCUUGCCAUGCCAAUGAUGGUGUCCUGAGGCUCUCAUCGUUACUUAACAACAGAUGCUGCACUACUUGAUCCAAUGAUGCAAUAGUCCUAGCACUACUAGGCUGCCUGAGGACAAUCCCUACUUCAAACCCUACCUCUGGGCUAGUUGAUUAGUAGUGGGUUAGUUGGAUUUCAUCUGAAAACUAACCCAAGCUUAAUUGAGGGACCCCCUAAUCAUGGAGUUAGUGCUAGUUUGAAUUGAUCUUUGGGUUUGGCUUUGAUCUAUACUUUGCUGGCUCUACUUCUGUCUUGGGCUAUUGGCUCCAUUUAUGCAGUGUUGGCUCUCUUCUACUGUUUCUUUGAUCAACUUAAUCUGAUUGGGGUUUGACUAAUGUUUCCAAAUUCCUAAGUGCUAGAUCCUACAGUAAAGGCAUUUUGCUAAGGGGAAUGCUGCAUUUAAACCUUGAUCAAGUUUUUCCUGUUUGUUGUUUCUUGUUUUGCAGGUUGAUGAACUGCAAGAAAGAAGCAGAAGAUGAAGAACUAGAUAGUUUAGUAUAGGUUUAGUUUAGGACUUUUUCUUUCUUCUUUUAUUUCUUUUUCCUCUAAGUGUAAUUCCUGAAUGCUUGUAAUUGACAUUUAUAUUAAUAAAGUCUAUUGUUUA